rnacentral:lncRNA from 1 species
GGAAACCACAGAAACUUAAGUGAUUUAGAGUGUGACUUUCAUGAACAGAAAUAGUCUCCAUAAUCUAAUCUCCAGAAUGCACUAAACCAGGAGAAGAUCCACCUGGUAUCAUAAUGACAGUUCAUUUUCAGGAUAAUUUCGUUGUCAAAGGAAUGGAAGAAUAUUAAGGAGAACAAGUCCUCAUCUCUCCAAAGACCCUUCAUCCUUCAUUUCACAAUAGUCUUUAUUGGAGGCCUCUCCUAUUAAACCCUAUUCUGUUUGAGGAUUAUUAUCCAUCGCCAUUGUAUUUUGAAGAACCUGUCAAAGAGGAGGUCUGCUGGAGUUUGCUGGAGGUCCACUCCAGACCCUGUUUGCCUGGGUAUCACCGGCAGAGGCUGCAGAGCAGCAAAGAUUGCUGCCUGCUCCUUCCUCUGGAAGCUUCAUCCCAAAGGGGCACCCGCCUGAUGCCAGCCAGAGCUCUCCUGUACGAGAGAUGCCCUGCCCAGUGAGGAGGAAUCUAGAGAAGCAGUCUGGCCAUAGCUUUGCUGCACUGCGAUGUUACCUUUUUGACAUAACCAAGUAAACCAACAGGCUUGAAGACACACCGAUCAUAAAAAUGAAUCUAAGAACCCAGGUGUAAUCUUCUGAUUUCUAGGUCCCAGCGCUUCUCAUUUUUAAGCAGAGUUUCAUAGAAAUACUCUAUUCAAACAAACAAACAAAAAAAACAGAAAAGCCACAGACCUCUGUAACAUUUAAGCAGAGGUGUCCUCUUAGUAAAAUGUAAAAUACAUGUGUGAAA